rnacentral:rRNA from 1 species
UGCAGUCGAGCGGUAGCACAGAGAGCUUGCUCUCGGGUGACGAGCGGCGGACGGGUGAGUAAUGUCUGGGAAACUGCCUGAUGGAGGGGGAUAACUACUGGAAACGGUAGCUAAUACCGCAUAACGUCGCAAGACCAAAGUGGGGGACCUUCGGGCCUCAUGCCAUCAGAUGUGCCCAGAUGGGAUUAGCUGGUAGGUGGGGUAACGGCUCACCUAGGCGACGAUCCCUAGCUGGUCUGAGAGGAUGACCAGCCACACUGGAACUGAGACCCGGUCCAGACUCCUACGGGAGGCAGCAGUGGGGAAUAUUGCCCAAUGGGCGCAAGCCUGAUGCAGCCAUGCCGGGUGUGGGGAAGAAGGCCUUCGGGUUGUAAAGCACUUUCAGCGGGGAGGAAGGCGGUGAGGUUAAUAACCUCAUCGAUUGACGUUACCCGCAGAAGAAGCACCGGCUAACUCCGUGCCAGCAGCCGCGGUAAUACGGAGGGUGCAAGCGUUAAUCGGAAUUACUGGGCGUAAAGCGCACGCAGGCGGUCUGUCAAGUCGGAUGUGAAAUCCCCGGGCUCAACCUGGGAACUGCAUUCGAAACUGGCAGGCUAGAGUCUUGUAGAGGGGGGUAGAAUUCCAGGUGUAGCGGUGAAAUGCGUAGAGAUCUGGAGGAAUACCGGUGGCGAAGGCGGCCCCCUGGACAAAGACUGACGCUCAGGUGCGAAAGCGUGGGGAGCAAACAGGAUUAGAUACCCUGGUAGUCCACGCUGUAAACGAUGUCGAUUUGGAGGUUGUGCCCUUGAGGCGUGGCUUCCGGAGCUAACGCGUUAAAUCGACCGCCUGGGGAGUACGGCCGCAAGGUUAAAACUCAAAUGAAUUGACGGGGGCCCGCACAAGCGGUGGAGCAUGUGGUUUAAUUCGAUGCAACGCGAAGAACCUUACCUGGUCUUGACAUCCACAGAACUUUCCAGAGAUGGAUUGGUGCCUUCGGGAACUGUGAGACAGGUGCUGCAUGGCUGUCGUCAGCUCGUGUUGUGAAAUGUUGGGUUAAGUCCCGCAACGAGCGCAACCCUUAUCCUUUGUUGCCAGCGGUCCGGCCGGGAACUCAAAGGAGACUGCCAGUGAUAAACUGGAGGAAGGUGGGGAUGACGUCAAGUCAUCAUGGCCCUUACGACCAGGGCUACACACGUGCUACAAUGGCAUAUACAAAGAGAAGCGACCUCGCGAGAGCAAGCGGACCUCAUAAAGUAUGUCGUAGUCCGGAUUGGAGUCUGCAACUCGACUCCAUGAAGUCGGAAUCGCUAGUAAUCGUAGAUCAGAAUGCUACGGUGAAUACGUUCCCGGGCCUUGUACACACCGCCCGUCACACCAUGGGAGUGGGUUGCAAAAGAAGUAGGUAGCUUAACCUUCGGGAGG